UAGGGGAAUCUUCGGCAAUGGGGGCAACCCUGACCGAGCAACGCCGCGUGAGUGAAGAAGGUUUUCGGAUCGUAAAGCUCUGUUGUAAGAGAAGAACGUGUGUGAGAGUGGAAAGUUCACACAGUGACGGUAACUUACCAGAAAGGGACGGCUAACUACGUGCCAG
rnacentral:rRNA from 1 species